rnacentral:rRNA from 1 species
UACGUAGGCAGCGAGCGUUGUUCGGAGUUACUGGGCGUAAAGGGUGUGUAGGCGGUUCUUUAAGUUUGGUGUGAAAUCUCCCGGCUCAACCGGGAGGGUGCGCCGAAUACUGAGGGACUCGAGUGCGGGAGAGGAAAGUGGAAUUCCUGGUGUAGCGGUGAAAUGCGUAGAUAUCAGGAGGAACACCGGUGGUGUAGACGGCUUUCUGGACCGUAACUGACGCUGAGACACGAAAGCGUGGGGAGCGAACCGG